rnacentral:rRNA from 1 species
AUUGAACGCUGGCGGCAGGCUUAACACAUGCAAGUCGAGCGGAGUGAUGGUGCUUGCACUAUCACUUAGCGGCGGACGGGUGAGUAAUGCUUAGGAAUCUGCCUAUUAGUGGGGGACAACAUCUCGAAAGGGAUGCUAAUACCGCAUACGUCCUACGGGAGAAAGCAGGGGAUCACUUGUGACCUUGCGCUAAUAGAUGAGCCUAAGUCGGAUUAGUUAGUUGGUGGGGUAAAGGCCUACCAAGGCGACGAUCUGUAGCGGGUCUGAGAGGAUGAGCCGCCACACUGGACUGAGACACGGCCCAGACUCCUACGGGAGGCAGCAGUGGGGAAUAUUUGACAAUGGGGGGAACCCUGAUCCAGCCAUGCCGCGUGUGUGAAGAAGGCCUUAUGGUUGUAAAGCACUUUAAGCGAGGAGGAGGCUCUUUUGGUUAAUACCCAAGAUGAGUGGACGUUACUCGCAGAAUAAGCACCGGCUAACUCUGUGCCAGCCGCCGCAGUAA